UACGUAGGCAGCGAGCGUUGUUCGGAGUUACUGGGCGUAAAGCGUGCAUAGGCGGUGUCUUAAGUUUGUUGUGAAAUCCCGUCCGUCUAACCGGGAGGGUGCGGCGAAUACUGAGAUGCUGGAGUGCCGGAGAGGUAAGCGGAAUUCCUGGUGUAGCGGUGAAAUGCGUAGAUAUCAGGAGGAACACCUGCGGUGUAGACGGCUUACUGGACGGUAACUGACGCUGAGGCACGAAAGCGUGGGUAGCAAACAGG
rnacentral:rRNA from 1 species